rnacentral:tRNA from 1 species
UGUAUAGUAGUGUAAGAAGCAUAAGAAAUUUUGAUUUUUUAGGUAUGGGUGCAAGUCCUAUUUAUAUAA